rnacentral:tRNA from 1 species
GGUCCCGUAGCUCAGCUGGAUAGAGCAUUUGCCUUCUAAGCAAAGGGUCCCAGGUUCGAGCCCUGGCGGGAUCACCA